UAAUUUUAGGUUGCUAGUAUGUCAAAAAGUACUCUGGACAUGCUUGACUUUUGCAUGAUGGGACCUAUAAUUUUGUCCGUUUAUGUGUACUUUGGAAUCGAAAUUUACGCUUCAUACGUCAAUAUACCAAUUUCUGAGUAUUAUAUUUUGCUGUUGGGAUUUUUAUAUACGAUCUCUAAUUUUGUGAUCUACUGUGUACGUAUAUGUAAAGAAAUUAGUGCAAACUUUGGCAUUGCAAUACUGACAAUACCUUACACAAGAAAAGAGAAUUAAGUAUCUAGAACUAGAAAUUAUAUUUUUUACUUUAAUCUUCAUUCUUAAAACGAAAUAAAUAUAAUUGUGUAUUAAUAAAUAAA
rnacentral:lncRNA from 1 species